rnacentral:rRNA from 1 species
UACGUAGGGUGCAAGCGUUAAUCGGAAUUACUGGGCGUAAAGCGUGCGCAGGCGGUGAUGUAAGACAGAUGUGAAAUCCCCGGGCUCAACCUGGGAACUGCAUUUGUGACUGCAUCGCUGGAGUGCGGCAGAGGGGGAUGGAAUCCGCGUGUAGCAGUGAAAUGCGUAGAUAUGCGGAGGAACACCGAUGGCGAAGGCAAUCCCCUGGGCCUGCACUGACGCUCCAUGCACGAAAGCGUGGGGAGCAACAGG